UGGGGGGAGCCGUCGAAGGUGGGACUGGCGAUUGGGACUAAGUCGUAACAAGGUAGCCGUACCGGAAGGUGCGGCUGGAUCACCUCCUUUCUAAGGAGC
rnacentral:rRNA from 1 species